rnacentral:misc_RNA from 1 species
ACGGGGGGUUGAUGGCAAAUGC